rnacentral:tRNA from 1 species
GGGGAUUUAGCUCAGCGGUAGAGCGCUUGCCUAGCAUGCGAAAGGCCCUGGGUUCGUCCCCAGCUCCG